UUUCCGUGGCCAAUUGCAAAUGCAAAUCAUAUUUUGAGUUAUGAAGGCCCGUAAACAUGUAUAUAAAAACACAUCCGUUCAUUAUUUAAAAACUAAAAUAAACUGUUUUAAGUGAAAUAUUAAUAUGCAUAGUUUUUUCAAGUGGACAACCUGCAUAUCCAUGUAGUGUCGUGCGAUGCCUCCCCCGACGAUACAAAGAGCGAAACGGUGAAUCUGUAUAAUAAUGGGAGUACCGUCAGCGCUAACAAUGUUUUGAAACAAUUUUAUGAAAAGAAGUUGAAGACGGCAUCAGCAACUAUGACUGGUUUCAGAUUUAUUGUCAAAACGCAGACGACGAAAUGCAUUUCAACAAAAACACAACAAAACACUUGAGGUAUCGGCUUCUUUACGCGUUGAAAGUUUAUCAACAAAUGGGGUACAGGGAAUGGUCGCUAGAGAAGGCCGAUGCAUCUUGAUGGCAAGCAUUUUGCUCGUGAAGUAUAGUCU